rnacentral:rRNA from 1 species
AUACCGGCGGCUCGAGUGGUGGCCACUUUUAUUGGGCUUAAAGCGUUCGUAGCUGGGUUGUUAAGUCUCUUGGGAAAUCUGGCAGCUUAACUGUCAGGCGUCUAAGAGAUACUGGCAAUCUAGGAACCGGGAGAGGUGAGGGGUACUUCGGGGGUAGGAGUGAAAUCCUGUAAUCCUCGAGGGACCACCUGUGGCGAAGGCGCCUCACCUGAACGGCUUCGACAGUGAGGGACGAAAGCUGGGGGAGCAAACCGGAUUAGAUACCCGGGUAGUCCCAGCCGUAAACGAUGCGCGGUAGGUGUGUCGAUGACCACGAGUCAUCGAGGUGCCGAAGGGAAACCGUGAAACGCGCCGCCUGGGAAGUACGGUCGCAAGGCUGAA